AUCCCUGAAAUGAGUAAGACUCAGAGUUGUUAAAGUUCUCAAAGCGCUGGCAGCGGCAGCUCUUGGGGAAAAGGAAGCGAGUUGGAGGGAGCCCGCCGAGCAGAGGAUCAGCUGGGGUUACAAGCUCAAGGCAGGAAUUCUGAGGCUCUCAAGAGACCGGCUCUGCCCCCUUGGCUCAGCUGACCCUACAAUGCGGACUCUGCCUUUCCAGGUCAGGACUGGAGCUUUAAAAUAAAAUGGAUGAUUUGACGUUACUUGAUCUUCUGGAGUGCCCCGUUUGCUUUGAGAAGCUCGAUGUCACAGCCAAAGUCCUGCCUUGCCAGCACACCUUCUGCAAACCAUGUCUACAGAGGAUUUUCAAGGCCCACAAGGAGCUGCGGUGCCCCGAAUGCAGGACCCUGGUGUUUUGCAGCAUCGAGGCCCUGCCGGCCAACCUGCUGCUCGUGCGUCUUCUGGAUGGUGUGCGCUCGGGGCAGAGCGCGGGGAGAGCCGGCUCCUUCCGCAGGCCCGGCGUGCUGACCUCGCAGGACAGCAGGAAAAGCAGGACUAGCCCCAGAGGGCUGCAGUCCAGCCCUUUCCGCCUGGUGCCUAAUAUCAGGAUCCACAUGGAUGGGGUGCCUCGAGCAAAGGCCUUAUGUGACUACCGAGGGCAGAAUCCCGGCGACCUGAGGUUUAACAAGGGAGAUGUCAUCCUCCUCCGGAGACAGCUUGAUGAGAACUGGUACCAGGGAGAGGUCAACGGAGUCAGUGGGGUCUUCCCAGCCAGCUCCGUGGAAGUCAUCAAGCAGCUGCCCCAGCCGCCCCCACUCUGCCGGGCCCUCUACAACUUCGACCUACGAGACAAGGACAAGAGUGAGAGCCAGGACUGCCUGACCUUCCUCAAGGAUGAUAUCAUCACUGUGAUCAGCAGAGUGGAUGAGAACUGGGCAGAAGGAAAGUUAGGAGAUAAAGUAGGCAUCUUCCCAAUCUUGUUUGUAGAGCCAAACCUCACUGCAAGACACCUCUUAGAGAAGAACAAAGGCCGUCAGUCAUCCCGCACAAAAAACCUGUCCCUGGUGGCCUCACCCUCCAGAGGCAAAGCAGUCAACACGCCCACCCUCCGAAGGGGCCCUGGAUCCAGGCGGAAGGGCCCCGGGCAGUUCUCCAUCACGACGGCCUUGAACACUCUCAACAGGAUGGUCCAUUCUCCCUCGGGGCGGCAAAUGGUGGAGAUCAGCACCCCAGUGCUUAUCAGUUCCAGCAACCCCUCUGUGAUCACCCAGCACAUGGAGAAAGCAGAUGUUCCUCCCAGCUCUGUGGGGCAGGUCAGCACUUAUCACCCUGCACCUGCCUCCCCAGGACAUUCCACGGCCAUCGUCAGUCUGCCCGGCUCCCAGCAACACCUCUCAGCUAACAUGUUUGUAGCCCUGCACUCCUACUCAGCCCACGGACCUGAUGAGCUGGAUCUGCAGAAGGGAGAGGGCAUCAGGGUCCUGGGGAAGUACCAGGACGGCUGGCUCAGGGGCGUCUCCUUGGUCACUGGACGAGUCGGCAUCUUCCCCAACAACUAUGUCAUCCCCAUUUUCAGAAAGACAUCUAGCUUUCCAGAUUCCCGGAGCCCUGGUCUCUACACCACAUGGACGUUAUCCACCUCCUCUGUGUCAUCCCAAGGUAGCAUUUCAGAAGGUGACCCUCGGCAAGGCCGCCCCUUCAAGUCUGUCUUCGUGCCCACCGCCAUAGUCAACCCUGUACGGAGCACGGCCGGCCCGGGGGCUUCAGGACAGGGCUCUCUUCGGAAAGGGCGGGGCAGCAUGAGAAAGAGUAAGUGGUGGCAGAGAGAUGGAUCCCUGCAGAGACCCGUCCAGCCAGGGAACCCCACCCUUGUGGUGGGCUCCCUCAGGCGCAGCCCGACCAUGGUCGUACGGCCUCAGCAGUUCCAAUUCUACCAGCCACAGGGAGUCCCCUCCUCACCCUCGGCAGUGGUGGCAGAAAUGGGACCCAAGCCCACUCCCACUGGGGAGCCUGCCCUCACGUGCGUCAGCAGGGGCAGCGACACCAGGAUCCACUCGGCAGCCAGUUCCCUCAUCAUGGAAGGCAAGGAAAUGCCCAUCAAGAGUGAGCCUCUACCCAAACCACCUGCAUCUGCCCCACCGUCGAUCCUGGUGAAGCCAGAAAACUCAAGAAAUGGCACCGAAAAGCAAGUCAAAACCGUGAGAUUUCAGAAUCACAGCCCUCCUCCCACCAAACACUAUACCUCCCACUCCGCCUCCGGAAAGCCUGAGCAGCCAGCCACCCCUAAGGGGCCCCAGCCUGAAGCAGCCCCCUUGGGCCCAGAGAUGACCAUCCUAUUCGCCCACCGAAGCGGCUGCCAUUCUGGACAGCAGACAGACCUCCGGAGGAAGUCAGCUUUUGGCAAGACCAUGACCCCGGUGUCCACAGCCUCAGCCACACAGACCGUGUUUCCCAGCAAAUGAAUCUACGGGUGGCUUUUCCUAGACCCCAAAGAGGUGAAUUGCCUUUAAAUACAGUCUGCCUCCAAUGAGGGCGUCCUGCCAUUCUUUGGGGACUCAAGUAUGGGUCCUUGUUCUGUCCAUUUUACCUCCAGGAAAGGAAAGGUGGGAACAGGGAUUCCUGCCCUGGGUGGGAAGAUAAAUUGGGUGCCCUUCCAAGCUUAGUGAUAUGAUGCAGCAAGGCCACUACUCAGACCAAGGAGUGGGAGACCAUCCUGCCACCCUGUUGCCCAGGGUGGAGCGUGCGGACUCUCAUCCCCCAUGUUCUGCUUAGAAUUUCUGUGGUGUCCUACAAGGGGCUUCGGCCAGGAAUGUCACAAUGGUCAGAAUGUUAGCAUUGCCUCUUCGACCUCACCACGAUGUUUUCAACAAGCAUUAGAACAGCUCUGCCAUCUUCUGGGCCUAUACACUGGCCACUAUUAGCCGCCUUAUCUUUUUCCCUCCGUCGAGUCAUAAUCCUGACUACAAAGGGAGAAUUUCUGGGAAGGAUAUGAGAUGUAUACUUGGAACAUUCCAAGAACGCUCUAAAACCAAAGGGAGUCAGCUUCCUGAGUUUGCCCCAACAGGAAGGUCAGAGAGUAAGCUGACUACCCAGUGUCAAAAGAUUAUCAAAGUCUAAUCUGUUCUUGCACAUAUAAUCCUACACGAUAGAUAAGGAGAAAGCACGUAGCUGUGGACAGUACUAUGGACGAUUAAUUCAUCCUGACUCCGUAGUCUAACUUCCCUAGGGAAAAACAACAUGCUUAGAAACAAGGAUGUAAGGGGUUUGAGUUUAGGUAUAUAUUCUAUUUGCAUUGCAACAUUCUUUACUUUCUCUCAUUUCUUCUCAUUUGGCGCAGACUAGCUGUUUCAUGGGAUUGCAGGAUAAGGGAACCGUGUUGGUGAGAAGAUGGCAGUCCAAGCUUGGGGUGGGGCGCUUCCUAGAGGAAAGCUGCUCUAAAAGGGACUGGGCAAAGAAGAUGGGAGAGGAAAGGAGAAGGAGAAGAGGGAGGGUAAAGGAAAUAUGGAGGAGAAAGCGUAGGGUGAUGAGAGUAAGAGAAAGAGCAUUGGGAAAAAGUGUCAGAGAAGAAGAGGAGAGAGGCGGAGAGUGGCCUUGACAUUCCUGACGAGUGGGGAAAGAAGCAUGGAAUCUGCAAAACCAGGUGACCCCAUUAAGAUGGGGCUGAGGUGAGCGGGACCAGCCAGGCAGAGCCUUGUAAACAGAGAGCCAAGGAAACUGAGGCUUGAAGGGUAACCAUAGAGAGUGGCAGAGCGAGGAUUCAGACUCAAGCUGUCUAACUUCAAAGCCCUGCUUGGGACCAUGCCGUUUGAACCAAGAGACCAUCCUUGACUUCAGGAUGCUGACUUCAGACUGUGACCCUGCCUUGGUAAUCUUCCGAGGAGGAGCCAGCAACAACUGGGACACUGAAGAGAACAAAUGAUCUGUUUGAAUGGAAACUGCUCAAUGGAGAGCUGUGGACCAUAAGAUAUUCCUCGGACAUCAGGGAUGAUACAGGAAUACCAGUAGGCUGGCUUCCAAGACAGAGAGUAAUAGGAGAAAGAGCAAGUCUGUCUUUACCCAUAGAGUCAAUGGGUGGUAGGUCAGGAUGGAGAAAAGCAAAUGAGUCAUGUGCUGUUACAGGUUACACAAGACUCCCGUCCAUCCUCUAAUUCCAUUCUGUUGUCAAAGCCAAACUUUAUCUUGCCAAUUUCUCUCACUUUGGCACCUAACUAACAAAUGAAAAACUUGGACAUCAAACACCUUCCAGCUCUGUGACUGGCCUGUCUGUCCAGCUCAGAUUUAGAGCCAUGCAGGGGAUGGCAUAAUAUUCUUCUCCUGGGUGUUCUUCACAAUGUCCCUAGCCUUCACCCACUCCCUGACUCCCAACCAGGCAUCUUGCAUCCCUCCGCCACAUCCUCAUCCUUUUCCAUUCCAGUUCCAUCCUGUUUCUCCCCCCAACACCUUCUGAUCCAGCGGGUUUCUCUUAGAACAUACUGAUCAAGGAAAUAAGGACCUGGCACAUAAAGAAUCUCAGACAAGAAGAAUCCGUGGCGUUAUAAGAGAGACACCACAGACGGCAAUGCUUACAGAGAGGCUAUUUCAAGUCCAAAAAUAUAAAAAUUAGUUACAAUAUGCAUUCCUUUUUGUUCAGAAAUAAGUCCUCUUAAAGGACAAGUCAUUAGAAGAUAGUCUACCCCUGGUUUGAAAAAACUAAUUUAAAAGGCAAAUUUUACAUUAUCUGUGCUAAACAGAGAGAGACACAUUGCACAGAUAAAUGAAAUUCAGAAAUACCCUGAGACUCUUUGAGCCAUACAUUUUCAUCUUCUAGCUUAUCUUAAGACAUCAAUAAGAAUUUCAUUUUUAAAAGCACAUGCUGCACUGAUUAUCAAAGACAAUGAAAGAAUGCAUCGUUAUUUGGAUACGUUAGUUGUUUUAAAGUUCAGGAUUAUAAUUUUGCACUGAAGCAUCCUCAGUCUCUCAUCCAGUCCUGCUUAUAAGCAGGAGCAAGCAUCAGCUAAACUAUGAGCAGAGCAAGGAUUGUAUUUUGUGGUUACACAAAUGUUUUCUUCUAUGUGAAACUGUCACAUGAAGAUUCAAACUAGCACUCAUCUCUCAAUGGGAUGAAUAACUUGGACUUGUUAAUCACAGUCUUCUCUUAGUUAACCCAAGGGGAAGGUGAUAAUAAGCAACAAGAAGCCCCGAAGUAUUGGCUUUAUCUGCCAAGUGGUGAGUGGGAAGGCAAGAGGUAUGAUGAGACCACCAAAAGGAUAAUUCAGUGAUGACAUCUCCUUCUCACACAUGGUCAAUGAUGGUGCUGCCAAUUGUCGGUCACCCGUUGUCUCUGAACUGCUGUGACUAAAUGUUGGUUCCAUUUCUUCUAGGAUAAAUUCAGGUUUGCUUGGCUCCUCUUUAGCCUCAGCAGCAAUGAAUAUAGAGAUGCUGCCUUCAGAGUCUGGAAUCUACUUGUUACUACCAUGAGGCCUUACAGCCUACCCAUAAAUAGGUUUCCAUGACUUUAUUUUCCAGGGCAAAGUCAUAGAAUGUCAGAGUUAGAAGGAAUUUUACUUCUAUCAAUGAUGUAUGAAAAGGUUAAGUAUGGGCAAACUGCCCACACAAAAGCAAGUUGUAUAAACUGGGGGGAACAACAUAACUUUUAAUCCCCAGAAACCAUUAGAUCACAUUGGCUAAUUACAGCCUUGUCUUCAAGGCCCUCUCGCUCGAUUUUCUUCUUCUAUUGGCUUCCCCCUCCUCACAUUUAGAGCAACAGGAAACCACCACUCCUAAUUUUUCCACUUGCUGUUUUUUAAGUCUCUGGGAACUUUCCAUGGCUUAUAGUGGAGGAUUUCAUAGAGAUUUAGCUUUUCCUUUGAACCUGCUUAGCCAAUCAACCAAAUAUUUUCUUAAAACACAAAAUGAAGAAUCCAAUUUGUUCCCAGCCAGCCAAGAAGCUUAGAAAAAGCUCCCCAUCUCCUAAGUUUUCAUUUCUGGACUGUCAGUUCCAACAUAUAGAUUCCAAAUAUCAUGGGUCAAAAGUGGUAGAGGUGGUGGGGAGGCACAUAAGGAUGAAUUAGAAUGAUUAGAACGAGGUCAGCCCAGAAAUCUACCCUAGAAUAGUUUGCUGACCAUGAAGUCUGAGUUUCGUCUCCUGGAACUGUCGCUCUUCUUACUACAUGUGGGGUCAGGAGGAGGGGGUAUUGUUUAGGGAAAAAAAGAUGGAAGAGAAAAUGGAAGGGGAGAAAAAUUCACUCCUCCAUGGAAAUAUAAGCAGAAAACCUACAGACUCUUGUGUCUUUGCUUGUUUUUUUUUCAGUACAGUGUUUUUAAUAGACCAAAAGAGAAUCUGUAUGAGGUAAUAUGUAUGUGAAUAAUGUUUAUAAAAAGGGUAUAAUAUGUUAGUCAUUAUGGACUAUUGUAUAAAUAAACCUUAGAUAUAUAAAAUAUAUAAAUGUUUAAAAAUUAUUUUACAGGGCAGUGGACACUUAACGACUUUCAAACUUUUUACUUCUUUGUUCCAAAAAAUAGAGAGUUCCAGGGCUGGCAGCUUAUUUCCUUAGUCUAUUCCACUGUAAAGCCAGGGGAUUUUGGGGGGUUGUGUUUGUUUUCUGGUUUUAUAAUUUAUGAUCUGUGUGGAUUACUUUGAAAUGCCUGUUACAUGUGUGUUGGUGCUGUUUACCCACAUGGAGUCAUCAGAAAUCUGUUCCAUGCUUCGCGUGGAAUUUUCUAAUUCUAAACCAAAAGGAAUUUUCUAGUGAGAAGAAAAAUACACAGAAUAUGCCUUCACUGUUGGGUAACUCUCACAUUUGUACCACUGACAGCUUUCUGUAAGUCUGAGGAAAUGGGGAGUUUAAUAUCAGAGUUGUUGUGUCUCACUUAAAUAUUUGAUGUUAUAUAACUUUUCUCCUGGGAAGAAAGCACAUAUUUUUGUUAGCUCCUUUUUUCUUGGACUUGACAUAUUCUAGAGGAAACUAGAAGUCCUGGCCCUCAGCCACCUUGCUUCAGGACCACUCUCUACCAUCACUUUUCAAAGAACCAUCCACAUAUUAAUUCCCCAUUUUAUGUUCUGUGCUUCAGUGGUGGAAUCAAUGUUUUUAGAGCCGAGAGUUUUCCUUUUCUGGGGCUUGAGGCUCUAAUGAAGUGUUAAGUUUGCCCUUUUCCGUCCAGGCUGAUGAGAAGACGCAAAGGGAAAAAAGGGAUUCCUCGCUGGAGCGGUCCCCUCGCACCUCUUCCAGGAGCCGGGAGGAGAACUGUGCCAGUAACCCGGGCGUGAAACACCAUCUGCUCUCCAUGCUGGGAGGGUCAAUCAUAUGGAAGUGGAGAGAUUACCCAAGUCUCCUGUGCCAAAAACGCAUACUGUUCCCAGCUGUAAGCUUGUGAAGCCCGAUGUGCGUCUUAGCAUGAAACAAUAAAGCAGGUUUAUUUUCACUUAA